rnacentral:lncRNA from 1 species
AUGAAGACGAAUUCUGGAACAUUGUUUGUUGAACCUUUCAAAUACCGCGCGAAGAUGAACGAACACCUCUUUGCAACAAAGGAACACGUGACUCCACGCUCACGCCAAGAUCCAGCGCAGCUUGCGCGCGCGUCACACGGCCUCCGGCCCACGCGCGCAGUUUUCAAAGGACCACGUGACAUCACACGUGCGUCGCCGGUACCACGCUCACCCACUGGGCCAUAACUCCCUUGGUGAUUGGACAGUCAUCUCAGGUUUCCAGUGAGCAAGGCUGCCCGACCGGUGUUACCGAUACUGGCUGCGAGUGAAACUCGGUCCCUCUUGUCUCAAGAGACAUCAGCAAUUUUGGCACUCCAAAGGUUGUGCUAAAAGUCACAAGCCGUGCUGUCCUGCGACACGCCAGAGUAACGGAGGACCGGGGACACUGCGGUUCAGUGUUUGGGGAGCACCGGGGAGGUUGACCAAGCCACUGGUUCCCACCUGAAUGACUUCAAUUCAACCAGGUGAACCAAAAGUGAUAAAACCUAUCCACUUAUUAUAAGCCACAGAAUAUUAGAUAUUCCCCCGGAUAUAUUUUAAGUGUUCUGACCCUUUUGCUUCUUUAAGCCACACCAUAUUUCUAGGUUUCCUACCCAGAUAGCCCACUCACCUGUUGGCCCUAUCUUAAAACCUAGCAGUAGGCUUAGGCCUCCUCAUUCUCACUAACACAUUGUGUUUCUAUUGUUUUCAUCUCAUUUCAAGUGUUGUGUUUCACUUUGAUCUUUUUCUACCACCUGUUCUGUUGUGAUUUGUUUCUUUCAUUUCACAUAGAGACAGUAACCUGGGAGCCACCAACGAAGUUAAAUAGUAGAGCGACCACCAGCAGCCGGUGUCAUCACACGACCCGCUAGGCUACUGCCUGUCAAAUCUCCAUUUCAGGUCCUUCGUUGACCCAAGUUAAUUGGCUACUUAACUGUCUGACUGUUUGCAUCAGUCAGCCCCAAAAUUCUCAUAAACGGCACAGCCCGUAUGAAUAUAGCUCGUUAAACGUAGAACGAACUUGCAUUGGUCUUUUUGUGUGUGUGUGCUGUGCUUCU